UACGGGGGGGGCAAGCGUUGUUGGGAAUUACUGGGCGUAAAGGGCUCGUAGGCGGCCAAUUAAGUCGGACGUGAAAUCCCUCGGCUUAACCGGGGAACUGCGUCCGAUACUGGAUGGCUUGAGUUCGGGAGAGGGAUGCGGAAUUCCAGGUGUAGCGGUGAAAUGCGUAGAUAUCUGGAGGAACACCGGUGGCGAAGGCGGCAUCCUGGACCGACACUGACGCUGAGGAGCGAAAGCGUGGGGAGCAAACAGG
rnacentral:rRNA from 1 species